rnacentral:rRNA from 1 species
GAUGAACGCUGGCGGCGUGCCUAAUACAUGCAAGUCGAGCGAACAGAUAAGGAGCUUGCUCCUUUGACGUUAGCGGCGGACGGGUGAGUAACACGUGGGUAACCUACCUAUAAGACUGGAAUAACUCCGGGAAACCGGGGCUAAUGCCGGAUAACAUAUAGAACCGCAUGGUUCUAAAGUGAAAGAUGGUUUUGCUAUCACUUAUAGAUGGACCCGCGCCGUAUUAGCUAGUUGGUAAGGUAACGGCUUACCAAGGCAACGAUGCGUAGCCGACCUGAGAGGGUGAUCGGCCACACUGGAACUGAGACACGGUCCAGACUCCUACGGGAGGCAGCAGUAGGGAAUCUUCCGCAAUGGGCGAAAGCCUGACGGAGCAACGCCGCGUGAGUGAUGAAGGUCUUCGGAUCGUAAAACUCUGUAAUUAGGGAAGAACAAAUGUGUAAGUAACUGUGCACGUCUUGACGGUACCUAAUCAGAAAGCCACGGCUAACUACGUG